AAGUCGUAACAAGGUUUCCGUAGGUGAACCUGCGGAAGGAUCAUUAACGAAUCAAACAAGUUCAUCUUGUUCUGAUCCUGUGCACCUUAUGUAGUCUUCUAAAGCCUUCACGGGCGGCGGUUGACUACGUCUACCUCACACCUUAAAGUAUGUUAACGAAUGUAAUCAUGGUCUUGACAGACCCUAAAAAGUUAAUACAACUUUCGACAACGGAUCUCUUGGCUCUCGC
rnacentral:misc_RNA from 1 species